rnacentral:rRNA from 1 species
GGAGGAAAAGAAACCAACAGGGAUUGCCCUAGUAACGGCGAGUGAAGCGGCAACAGCUCAAAUUUGAAAUCUGGCCUCGGCCCGAGUUGUAAUUUGCAGAGGAUGUUUCUGGCGCGGUGCCUUCCGAGUUCCCUGGAACGGGACGCCACAGAGGGUGAGAGCCCCGUAUGGUUGGACACCAAGCCUGUGUGAAACUCCUUCGACGAGUCGAGUAGUUUGGGAAUGCUGCUCUAAAUGGGAGGUAAAUCUCUUCUAAAGCUAAAUACCGGCCAGAGACCGAUAGCGCACAAGUAGAGUGAUCGAAAGAUGAAAAGCACCUUGAAAAGGGGGUUAAACAGUACGUGAAAUUGUUGAAAGGGAAGCGCUCAUGACCAGACUUGUGCCGGGCGGUUCAUCCGGGGUUCUCCCCGGUGCACUCCGCCCGGCUCAGGCCAGCAUCGGUUCUCGUUGGGGGAUAAGAACGGUAGGAACGUGGCCCUCCCUCGGGAGGGUGUUAUAGCCUGCCGUACGAUACCCUGAUGGGGACCGAGGUUCGCGCUCCGCAAGGAUGCUGGCGUAAUGGUCAUCAGCGACCCGUCUUGAAACACGGACCAAGGAGUCGUCCAUUAGAGCGAGCGUUUGGGUGUAAAACCCGCACGCGUAAUGAAAGUGAAAUUAGGUGAGAGCUUCGGCGCAUCAUCGACCGAUCCUGAUGUUCUCGGAUGGAUUUGAGUAAGAGUUUUAACGGACGGACCCGAAAGACAGUGAACUAUGCUUGUAUAGGGUGAAGCCAGAGGAAACUCUGGUGGAGGCUCGCAGCGGUUCUGACGUGCAAAUCGAUCGUCAAAUAUGAGCAUGGGGGCGAAAGACUAAUCGAACUGUCUAGUAGCUGGUUACCG